GCUCCAUGCAGAAAACCAAUCAUCACGGGUAGUGCGCACAGUUUUGCACCACCCACAGUGCACAAAAAAUUAAACUAUCAAAGUUAUUCAGACCUUUAUGAGCCUUGGCAGUUACCUGGACUGAAUCUAUAAAAAGGCUCUAGGUCUUGAGUCUUGACAUAUCUAAUGUAGACAUGUUGAGGCCCUAUGCCAUCUAAGUCCAAGAUAAAGGA
rnacentral:lncRNA from 1 species